rnacentral:misc_RNA from 1 species
GAUCAAGAACUGGAACUACACUGGCUUAGUUGACGCCAUCCACAACGGUGAGGGGAAAUGCUGGACUGCGAAGGUGACAUGUGAGGAGGAGCUCAAGGAGGCGAUUGGGACUGCAAUGGGCGCGAAGAGUGACUGUCUCUGUUUCAUAGAGGUGAUUGUGCACAAGGAUGACACUGGCAAGGAACUGCUGGAGUGGGGGUCUAGGGUUUCUGCGGCCAACAGCAGGCCACCAAAUCCUUAGUGAACAGGCUUAUUAUCGGAUUUCCUCGUAUGCCUAAUUUCUUAGAUUUGAGUCUUUGCCAUGAAUGGUGAUAUCUAUUAGACUUUUGUUGAAGGUUCAGCUUAAACAGAAAAAUAAACCUGCCUCAAUUUCUUUUGACUAUGAAGAAUGUUGAGACUGCUUAUAAUUUAAGUUUUAAAGCAGCUUCUCUUUU